GUGAGGAAUAUUGCGCAAUGGAGGCAACUCUGACGCAGCCAUGCCGCGUGCAGGAAGAAGGCGCUACGCGUUGUAAACUGCUUUUAACCGGGAAGAAACCCCAGGACGUGUCCUGGGUUGACGGUACCGGAGGAAUAAGCACCGGCUAACUUCGUGCCAGCAGCCGCGGUAAUACGAAGGGUGCAAGCGUUAUCCGGAUUCAUUGGGUUUAAAGGGUGCGUAGGCGGAGCGUUAAGUCAGUGGUGAAAUCCUGCAGCUUAACUGUAGACUUGCCAUUGAUACUGGCGCUCUUGAGAGCGCUUGAAGUGGGCGGAAUGUGCCGUGUAGCGGUGAAAUGCUUAGAUAUGGCACAGAACACCAAUUGCGAAGGCAGCUCACUAAGGCGAUACUGACGCUGAGGCACGAAAGCGUGGGGAUCGAACAGGAUUAGAAACCCCAGUAGUCC
rnacentral:rRNA from 1 species